GUUAGCAGGGCUUGGAAGCAAUGGAAUCCCGGAAGUAUGGAACACACACAUCACCCAGAUCCUGACUUCUAAUACCAGUCUAUAAAGAAAGGAACGAGAGCUCCUGGCAGAUACUGUGGAUUCUAGCGCUGAGCAGGGCAUAAGGAGAAGAGCCUGGCGUGUCUCAUAGUGCCAGAAUGAAAUGUCUGUGCAUUGCCUCUUGUUGAGGGCACCCAAAACUACAUCGAACCAGCAGAGGGAAGAUGUCAGGGAAAGGCCGGGUCCUGGUGGAGGAUGAGGAACAGAGCUGGGCCCAGUGAGGCGAAGGGUGUCACUGAGGUCAUUCAACUACAAAAUGCCAGAGCAGGAGUGGAGGCCAGGUCCCCAGGCUCCAAUUCAUGACCUCAAGGUGAAAAGAUCUCCCGAGAUAGAUAACAGUUCUCAUUUAAGUAAGAAUUAAAAAUAAAACUUCUCAGUGCUCUGAGACUAUGUUUCCACUAGGCAGUUUAUUGUACCCUGUAGAUCUGCAAACACUUCCAAAGAUGCCUAAACAAAGGCUGUGGUCAUCAUUCCGUUGGCUGGGCUGACUUGCUUUCUCCUUCUCCAAACUCUCCUUUUCCCCAAACCUCUUCACCCCACCCACCCACUAAUUGUCCUCCCAAGUCCUUUUUGAGCUUGGUCCCAGUCUCAUGCUCUCUCCCCAGUCACCAAUCCAAGAUGACUCUGGAGUUCACAGCCUCAGCUGGCUGUGCCUGGACAGAGCCUGGGAUGCCUGACGAACCAGCAGGACCAAGGAGUGGGAUUCUGAUCUGUGGGGAUCCAGGAGAGUCGCCUCUGAUCUCUAAGGGGACACUGCUUUCCAAACAGAGGCAAGUCACAGAGAUCUCUCCGAAGCUAUCGGGCUCGCCCUUGGGGUCUGCUUAGAGGGAGGCUAAGGUUUUAUAGGGGGUUGAUUGGUCACUGAACACCUCUGAUGUCUCUCUCUAUUCCUGCAACCACCCUAGUAAUGACAGAAGAGCAUGGAGGUACUGUUUUUGAACAGUUACUGUGUGUCACCCACUGGGUUGUUUGGUUUUAUUUAUUAUUUCCAACUCUCACAACAGCCUCAUGAGACAAUGGUGUUCAGAGACAUUAAGUAGCUGGCCCCAGUCUCACAGCCUGCAAGAUUUGGAGCCAGGACUGGAAUAUGAGAGCAAAGCUCUGGCUCCUUCCACAGUCAAGCUCCCCCUCAUCUGCAAACUGAAAAGCACAUUGUUCAACUCUUAACACACUCUCUAGGAGCAUUUUUGGUUCCAUGUCCAUCCUGGAGGUUUUCUCUAGAAAUAGUGGUUCUAGAUAACAUUCCAAUGUCUUGUGAUUGCUCAAUAUCCAAGCCAUAAAGAACAAGGGUGAACCAUGCAUGUUUCCCUCAAUUACGUCAUAAUUUUAUGAUGACCUGGGGUCAAGAGAAUGAUGGGAGGAGCUGAGGCUACAGGGACUCACAGAUCCUCUUGGUCUGUUCUCAGAAGAGGAGCAGGCUAUCAGGAAGGCUGUUGGCUGCUGAGGACCAACCAUGGUAAUUAAGUUUGUUCUGAGCCUGUGUGUCGGGCAAUGUGCUGGAUGCUUUCCUAGCAUGAGCUCAUUGAAGCAUCACAGAACCCCUACUGCUGUGAUCCCCAUUUUCAAGCAAGGAUAGGAGGCCUAGGGAGUCUAAAACUCCCCUGAGUUAAGAGAGCUACCGAGUAUCAGAGCCAGGAUUCAGAUGCAGGCCUGUCUGACAUCACAGCCUGUGCAUGUGAUCCCUGCAGUAGACUCCAGUGACUUCCCUUAAAG